CGUGAGCCCGUACGGGCGUGCCCGGACUCGGAAAAGAGCCUUUGGAGCCCAGCAGUUGGAGCAACAGCGUUUGUGGAGAGAAGCCGGCCUUGUCGGCCCCACAGCAGCUCCUGAUGAGCAUGGCUCGUUACUGAAGACAAGAAAUGCCUGAUCUGCUGCCAAGUGCAGUUCUGCAAAGGAGGUUCCCACCAGAAUCAGCUUUAGAAGCUCACAAAAAAAGGGUGAAUAACAAGCCACAGUGGG